UACGUGCAGGCGCCUGUUUUUAUGGUCCAUUUUAGAUCGAUCCUGGUGACUUGGACCACCCUAUAUAUAGAGUAUUGUAUCGGGCACAUAGGGUUUUGUCGAGGGGGGGGACCGCCCAUGUCAAAAUGGCAUAGAUGGGGGAGGGGGAGCGGGCAGGGAGAGGAGGUCCCAGCAAAACUGAGGAUUUGGGGCUAUGUGCUCGUAUUGUAUAUGCAAGUACAGUUGCUGGUGGUGUGAGCUGGAAUAUGCAAGCGGUGACCGGGCUGCGCAGACCACAUAGCCGCAGCAAGUGACUGGCCACAGCCUGGUCGUCACUCAUGCUUUCCUGCUUAUAUCGCUUGCUAAUGUAUGUAUCGAGGUCCUCGUUAGAUAAACUUUGUUUCGUGUUAGUACUGGAUACCAGAGCAGUUUGAGUGUUGCAUUAGAAGGAGGGGGCCAGUCAGGGCCAUGUCUUUUUCAAAGUGAUAUGGCUUGCAUGCUCUACUGGACGGUGUUGCACUGUACUCCGCAUAUUAUUCUUAGCACUGAACAGCAUCUCUGUUUGACACUAUGUGAAAUUGCAUGCUGUGCAUGUUUGCAUCUACCGAAGAGCUUAAGCUUCAAAUUCGGGCUCAGAUUAUGAGCCACGAACCAAGAAUACGGUGCCGAAUUUCUGUAUUAUUGAAGACGAGCGUAUUGGUGAAGGUUCAUAUCCACACACGAAAGGAUAAGAAACGGAAGGUGGACAGGGCCGAAAUAGGACCUCUGGAAAGAUAUCUUGGUUUGUUCUUGUCCACUGCGUUUUUUAUUCUUUCAUGUGUGCAUAUGAAAAUUUUGUACAUUACGAUUUAUACUGAAUUCCUGAAACGGCGAGCAUCUAGCGGCAUUUAUUAGUAAUAAAUACACCAAACCUUACUUAUAGCAUGUAAAGUACAAACCGUUAUAUCAUUAAAACAGCCUGCUGGGGUCCUUAACACAAAUCCAGUAACUUUACACUGCAGGGAUUUCCUUUCGUUUUAGGAGGAGGCUUCAUUGGAGACGGUGCGCACUGAAAACUGUGAAACCGCCCAAAGAGAGAGCUUGCCAGAUGAAACUUCUCCAGAUGACUCCUCUCCAGAUGUACCAUUGGUAGGCAUCGAGCCCUUUGAGCUGCCUUCGUGUUCAGACGACGAUGGGAACACCUUCAUUUUCCCCAAGCUUGGAGCUCUCCAUGAUACGAUCAUCUCUGGCAAACCUCUGACAUCUUCAUCAUUCCGAAAGAUUGUGGAGCUCCUCUUUCGUGCAAUGGUGAACAUAACAGUGUAAGUAAGGUGGUCUCAAAAUUCGGACUUAUUCCUAGCUUCAUCAUUUCCAGUUCCUUUCAUGGGUGACUUCUUUGUCGGCACCGGUCAACCUUUGUCUUGCUGUAUCUUUCUGUAUCCAGCUAAACCUAUGUGUGAUAUUUUUCAUUACAUGUUGGCAGAUAGCAUUGUUUAUGUCAAGGAAUGGCAUACAUUGUAUUUUUUUUUCGUUUGUCUUUUAGGGCACAAUAAAUGUUCAAUUUUACACAUUCUAAUU